rnacentral:rRNA from 1 species
UACGUAGGGGGCAAGCGUUGUCCGGAAUCAUUGGGCGUAAAGAGCGUGUAGGCGGUUCGGUAAGUCUGCUGUGAAAGUCCAGGGCUCAACCCUGGAAAGCCGGUGGAUACUGUCGGACUAGAGUGCGGAAGAGGCGAGUGGAAUUCCCGGUGUAGCGGUGAAAUGCGCAGAUAUCGGGAGGAACACCAAUUGCGAAGGCAGCUCGCUGGGACGUGACUGACGCUGAGACGCGAAAGCGUGGGGAGCAAACAGG